rnacentral:rRNA from 1 species
UACGACUACAUAUCAGGCAUAUCAAUAAGCGGAGGAAAAGAAACUAACAAGGAUUCCCUUAGUAACGGCGAGUGAAGCGGGAAGAGCUCAAAUUUGAAAUCUUCAAGGUUCUACCUUGACGAAUUGUAGUUUAUAAGAAGUGUUUUCUGUUAGUGAAGUUGGCUAAAAGUUCUUUGGAAUAGGACAUCAUAGAGGGUGAGAAUCCCGUAUUUGGUCAUUCCUCCUAGCGUUGUGAUACACUUUCAACGAGUCGGAUUGUUUGGGAAUGCAGUCCGAAAUGGGUGGUAAAUUUCAUCUAAAGCUAAAUAUUGGCGAGAGACCGAUAGCGAACAAGUACCGUGAGGGAGAGAUGAAAAGAACUUUGAAAAGAGAGUUAAACAGUACGUGAAAUUGUCAAAAGGGAAGCGUUUGACACCAGUGUUGUUUUCUCGAAAAUCAAUUAAAAAUGACCUGAUUUUGUGUUGUAUUGACCUUUAUCAAGCUUUCUGCACUUUUUUCAUUGUCUUUUUUAAUGCACUUUUCGUUUAACAAGUCAACAUCAGAUUCUUUUGUUGUAAAAGGGUCAUUGGAAGGUGGCUUUCACUUCGGUGAAAGUGUUUAUAGCCUUUGACUUCUGCAAUCGGAGAGAUUGAGGUCUGCAGCGUAGAUCCUUCGGGGUUAGAUACAUUUGUGCUAAGUUAUAGUUUUCAUAGACAACACUGUUGACUAUGAUUUAGUCAUGUAGCUUACUCGCUUAUGCUAUUUUACCUACGCUUAGGAUGUUGAACGCGCACAGAGUCUC